rnacentral:rRNA from 1 species
UACGAACCGUACAAACGUUAUUCGGAAUCACUGGGCUUAAAGGGCUCGUAGGCGGCCAACUAAGUCGGAUGUGAAAUCCCCAGGCUUAACCUGGGAACUGCAUCCGAUACUGGAUGGCUUGAAUCCGGGAGAGGGAUGCGGAAUUCCAGGUGUAGCGGUGAAAUGCGUAGAUAUCGUGAGGAACACCAGAGGCGAAGGCGGCUACCUGGACAAUUGCUGACGCUCAGGCACGAAAGCGUGGGGAGCAAAAGGG